GGAACUGCGCAGCGUUCACGCCACCACCGGCGACCAUCGCAUCUUCACCCUGCUAAGGUGGAGUCCCCUCACGGGGACCGAGGGUUCAAAUCCCUCCGUCUCCG
rnacentral:tRNA from 1 species